rnacentral:rRNA from 1 species
CAAUAGCGUAUAUUAAAGUUGUUGCGGUUAAAAAGCUCGUAGUUGGAUUUCUGCUGAGAACGACCGGUCCGCCCUCUGGGUGUGUAUCUGGCUCUUUCUUGGCAUCUUCUUGGUGAACGUUGCUGCACUUGACUGUGUGGAGCGCUACCCAGGACUUUUACUUUGAGGAAAUUAGAGUGUUUCAAGCAGGCAUACGCCUUGAAUACAUUAGCAUGGAAUAAUAAGAUAGGACCUCGGUUCUAUUUUGUUGGUUUCUAGAGCUGAGGUAAUGAUUAAUAGGGAUAGUUGGGGGCAUUCGUAUUUAACUGUCAGAGGUGAAAUUCUUGGAUUUGUUAAUGACGGACUACUGCGAAAGCAUUUGCCAAGGAUGUUUUCAUUGA